AUAUAAAGUAGAGUUGGCGAAUGCUGAGUUGGUAGUUCGUCAGUAGUGUGUAUCCCAGUGUGUAUUUCGUACGUUGUUACAUUAACCUAUAACAGGGAGUAUGCUGGUCCAUUAUUUUCUUGCGAAAGCAUUUCUUAUAACUCGAAAACUAUGGCAUUUUGAUAGGUACCUACUAAAAUUUUACAAGAGUACUUUUUCGUAGAAAACGAAAAAAUGUGAUUAAUUUUGCAAAAAUAUUAAAAUUUCAUGCUGUUUUAGGAUUUUUAAUAUUUUGGUUCUACUGCAUAAAAUUUUGAGAUUUUUGCAAAAAUAACCAAUAUUUUUUCAUUUUUUACAAACAAAGAAUCUUGUAAUAUUUUUGUAAAUGUCGGUAGUUUUUAAGUUAUUAAAAAUAGGUACGCUUUUGUAAAAAAAAAAAUGUCGAACCAGCAUACGCAUACCCUUCGUAAGUUGCCCCAUAUUAACUAAAAUACUUCGUAGAUCAUCUCUUUUGGGUCAAGAAACUUCGAUUGGAACCAGUAUUGCCGGUGAAGGCGCAAUCUGCAAGAAAAAACCUACUCUCGAGCAUGUGCAUGGAGGCAUCUUAUUGAUAAUAAUGAAGCCGGAUGCAUCCAGUGUUAUGAGAAAGAUAUAAAAACAAAAAUGAACUACUCGUAGACAGCUGCAAAGUGUGCAAUCUCUUUGAAAGUGUUUCUAGGUUUCAUGUUGGGGAAACAAAUUACUUUGAAGAGUACAAUAGGGUAUCCUGCACAAUUGACCGAGCCAUACAAAAGUUGAGCUUUCAAAGAAAAAGUCAUAAUGGAAAAUGAAAGUUUUGAAAAAGCUCAAAUCCUUCAUUUUAAACUUUUGAAAAUAAUUUAACAACAUGAGUAAAAAACAUUGGUCAAAAGCACUUUUUGAAAACAUUUUUCAAAAAAAUUGUAUUUUCUGUUUUGGAUUUUCGGGGGCCCAAAUGUAAAUUUGGUAAUUUUAAAUAAAAAGAAACAAAUUGGACUGAGUGAAGUAAAGGCAAACAUUUUUUGAAACUUUUGAUUUCAAGAGGCCUAAAAACGAUGUUUUUUUUUCUUUAAAGGAAGUUGAUGUUUGAAAAAAAGGACACGCCCGAAUGAAGCUAUGGUGAAAACUUUUAAAAAUUUAGAUUUUUGGAAAACUAAAAACAAUUGAAAAUCCCGAAACCAAAAUUGAUCCAUCCUGGAACCAAAUCAAUUUUUUUAAUCCCAAAACCAAUUCUGAAACCAAAAUAAAAAUUUAGAAGAAUAAUACUUAAACAAAUCCAAUCCCAGAAUGAAUAAAUUUUGAUCCAGAAACCGAAACCGAAUCCCAAAAACAUUUAGGACCCACAUCUCUGCGCAAAAGUUAAAAGUGCAGAACACUUCCCAACAAGGUAGAGGACCACAAAAAAAGUGAAUUAAAAAGAAAUUACUUACUUGGAUAGUGCGUAGUAAACAAUUAACAUUCGUUGGAGAUAAAUCUCCAAAUCGUAACUAAAAAAAACGAAACACAUAUUUUUUUAAAAUUUUAUUUAAUUUAACCCAAGAGGCAAAACACACAACCACUGAAAAACUAAAACUAUCUUAUUUUAAUUCUGGCUUCUAGCAAGCAAUACUAACACUUUAUAAAUUGAAAAUUGAUGGGGCAAACAUGUUUGCAAAAUCCAACAUGAGAGCAAAAAUUCAAUUCUGACCACCGGGGGGGGGGAGGCGGUAGUACUUUGAAAAAUUGAAAAAAUUACUGUCGUAUAGGUUUAAACAAAUAGGUAAGGAAAUUAUUUUAGGGGAAGCUUGGCAUAUCAAAAUAGGUAGGUAAGGAAUUUAGAUUAGAAAUUCAAAUAGGAUAAGUGGGUAUUUUUAUACAGGAAAGUUACAUAGAGGAACCUGCCUAUACUUCAGAUAAUUAAAAUGUAAUAAAUCAAGAGUAAUUUAUUUUCUAUGAUCGAGAAUGGUUAGUAUUUUGGGACUAUGUACAAAUAGGUAAAUACCUAUCAAAGGCCAAAAGAAACAUGUGAGAUCGUAACCUCUUUUAGGUGAUAGAUAUUUAUUCGAUAUAUUUAUUAUUAUUCAAAGAAUAAUUGUGAAUAUGUUGGACAUAUUAAAAAUAGAAUCGUUUCACUCGAUUAUAUAAAUUUCUGAUAGGCUAUAUAAAUAUCAUACCUGAUAUAAUUAAUUCCUAGUUUUAAACCCUUGACAAUUCCUUGACAAUUUUAAUUUUUAAAAGCUAAGACGAAGUCAAUUACCAUGACUAUAUUGGAGCCCUACAUCUGGAAAAUUCUAUCUAAAUUCACAUCAUUACCUAGGCGUGUGCCUCAGCACUGCCAUUACUGGCUCUCGUGACUCAGGGUUACUCUUCCAUCAUUAAUUGAUUCGAUUCAUUCGAAAUAAUUCGCGAAAUCAUGAUCGAUAAUUCAAAUUAAAUUCAAUUACGAAAUCAAGUCAUUUUAUUAACAUACUCGAAACAUUUCAAAAUAAAAAGAAAAGAGAAAAAAGAAUUAAUUAACACGUGAUCGCGUAACAAACAACAAAUCAUACGUACACUUCGAACAUCUAAUUACUAUUGGUACCUCAUACGUUAGGUAGGUCUUACCUAACAUCCGGAAGUUCAACUUUUCCCCACUCUCAUCACUUAAGCCCAAGUUCAUAGAAAAUUAUGUUGUAAGUCUAGUCUACCCUAAUAAAUUAAGGCAAUUAUUUGGACUCAUACAACAUUACCUGUUAUGACUUUUUGCCUACCUAACUUGCGAAUUGAAGUGGCUACAAAUGAUAUUUAAUUUUAAAAAAUCACGGUGUAAAAAAUGAAUGCGGAAAUGAAUACUCGGUCAAAAAAUAAAAAAAUUUGGCCGUGAUCAUUUUUUUUCUUACUCUUACCCAAAAAUUUUAAAAGUUUUUUAGAAUUCAAAAAUUUUUGAUUUGCUAAAAGUUUCAUUUCAUCGGCAAUUUUUGAGUUCCAAAAACUUCUUAAAUUUUAGAGUAAGAAAAAAACAUAACCCAUGUUUAUUUUUAGACGUAGUAUUCAAAUCAUUCGUAGCCCAUUCAAUUUUCAAGUAAAGUAAAAAGUCAUAAUGGGUAAUUUUGUUCUUUCUUCGAAGUACAUACUACCGCAACCCUCGUGGUCAAAUUUGGAUUUUGGAUCUUAGAUUUUGAUUUCGAAAAAGUAUUUUGCCCCUUCAAUUUUGAAGAUAGACCACACCUUCAUGUAACCUUUGUAUCCAGUUGUAUCCAAAUAUGAAGUUUGUACCACCACUCCCGGACACCCUGUAUAAAUAGAGGUGCACUCUAAUGAAUAUAGUAUGUCAUUUGUUUUGUGAUGAGCACAUUUGUUGAAUUGUAUCUACAUAUUAUACUUAAUUACUUAUUUUGUAAUAAUUAUAAAAAGUUGUUCGUCGAGUAACAUCAAAUGGAUCCAACCACAACGUACCUACUUGAUCAUUAUAUGUACGUACACAUUCUAUCUACGAUGAUUAUGGUUAUGGAUAUCCAAUAUUUUGCGGUUGCGGCAACUCGUGUCACCUUGAAUCAGAGUACCUAUAAUAUGUAUCAAUAAAAUGUCAAUAAAUACAAGUUGAAAAUUCAAAGUUUAAAGUACUCACCUACCUAUUUAAAGUUAUUACUUUUAAUGAUUUAAUUACAAUUAUAUUAAAUUGAUCCUAUAAUAUAUAAGAAAAAAAAGCUAAUCGUUACAAGUUUCAUUGAUAUGAUACUAUAAUAAAGCUCCUGCAAAACGUAGGAGAGAAUAUGGCUUUGUUUACAUAUAAGUGCAUGGUAGGAUCCAAAUCGAUAAACAUAAUAUUAAAACAAUAAAACUUUCAACUUGAUGAAUCAACUAGUAACGUUGCUCGGGUAACUAAUCCAGUUGCUAAGUACAUGGUCUAGUUUCACUAUAGAUACAAUAUAAAUGGAAGGAUAGGAUGUUGAUUGUAACCAUUUUUUGAUGUUAUUUUGAUUUGAUUAGCACAAAAAUACUACCAGUACAAUUUCUCUCUACGAAUCAUAAUUUUUUUUUUUUUUUUGAAUAGAAAAAGAAAUGCUUUUAUGAACAAUGUACCUACAGGCUACAUAUAAAAAUAUGGUCAUCAUGUCAUCAUACGUUGAGUAUUUCUCUUCGAGUUGGCCGAGCUUUUCACCUCGUUCGAAAGCACCAAGAAAUCAAUACUCCAAAAUUUGGGGAAAAUAGAAAAUUUUAUGCAAAUUUUUACAAUUUCUGCUCAUAAAAUCAGAUUGGCCCUUUUGACUUUCGUGAAAUUUGCAGAAUUAGUUUGGCCCUUGGGUGUAAAAAAUCAGUUUGGCCUUUCUUCCGCAGAGCAGUCGAUAACAUGAAAAAGUUAUAUAAUGAAAAGAACUUGAUAACAAACACCAGAUUGCGAUGACGACUACAUUUUUCAUUAUUUUUUUUGACAUAUGUACAUAAUAUGUUCUUACAUAGGUAAUUAAUUAUUUUUUUCUUUACGAUACAUUGUGUUUUCAAGGCAAAUUUAUAAAACAUGGUCAAAAAGUGUACCAAAAUGCGUUUCUCGUAAUUUUGCAUGUUUUAUGUACCUACCUAUAUACUUAUGUAGGUAGGUAUUUUUUUUUUUUUUUUUUUGUUAAAGUAUUGUAAUUUAUUGCAAAUUUACAUAUGAUCAAAAUGUGUGCCAUAGGUAUCUACACUACUCAUUUUUGUGUUCAUGUAAUGUAAUUCGUGUAUAUUUUUGUAUUCGUGAUGCAUUGUUUUUGUUUCUCUCUUUUUGAUAUUUUCAUAUAUGUACCUACUACCUACAAUAUGUACCUAUUAUUAUUGUGAAUUGGUUGACUUUUUUCUGUUAUGAUGCAUUUUUUUUGUUUACUUGGUUCUUAUUUUCGAUGAAUUAUCUGUUCAUGUUAUCUCAUAUGAAAAAGUAUCGUGUAUGUAAGUUUCAAAAUAUCGCCCCCCCCCCCCAUUCAAAGUCCUUGCCAGCUGUCCACCUUUUAUACUUGUAAUCUCCCGCAUCAAGAAAAUAAUGUAUAAAACUACCGAUACAGCAAGCAAGAUUUUUUAUUUUAUAUACAAAGAUAGGCCCUUUGAAUUUUAAAUUGUUAAUAAAUUACUCGACAGUUUUUUUCCAUUUAUGUGCGUACAACUUGGUAAUCAUUCUAUGUAAAUGUAAUUUUUUCAACACUGCCGAACAUAACGAAGUGACUGGGACCGGUUUUGUUACCCUGCCAAUGACGAUGAGUGCCCUUUAUGCACGAAAAUUUUUGAGUUUGAGUAAAUUUUCGCAUCAAAGAGAAAGUUUGUUUUGGGGCAAUGGGAUACGUUUUAUGUCGCUUCCUUUGAUGUCAGAAUGUGGUGAUUUUUUGCGAGGGGCACAUGAGGGGCGGUCAUUUGCUGUUCGACCUUUCAGUGAUUUCAGUGACUGAUCUGUUGGUCAUGGUUGCCUUCAUCCGAAAUUUCUUCAUCUUGCUAUCAUUGGAAUCAUUAAAACUCAUUCAAAAAAAAGAAAUUGAAUAAAAAGAAACAAGGAUGCUGUAAUUUUGAAAAAAUAUUUCGAAUGAAUUUUUCUUUCGAAACUAUAUUUUAAAAAAGACAACUUGAAAGUUGGAACCACGUUAAGAUUACUGACAAUUUUUUUAUAGUCUACAAGUAGAUACCUACCCCCAUUUCCUACGCUUACCUAAAUACCGAAAAGAAAUCUAAAACUAAUACAUACCUACAAUCUAAACACAAAGGAUAACAACAUUUUUGAUUUUGAAUUACACAGAUUUGAGAUUGUACAUAGGUAUAAGUACAUUCAGGGGUGCAUUCAGUUUGGUUUAUUAUACCUAGGUACCUAAGUACCCAGUGUAGGUAUGAUGGACAUAUUCUAAAUUAGUUUCUGCAUUUCCUUUUUCGUGUGUACAAAUUCAAGUACUUACUAUCAUUGGCUUGUGCAUUCAACUCGGUUAAUCUUGUCAAUGCGUGGUGUUCGGCAAAGUGUAAAUUUCCAUUAAUUACAAAAUUUUGCAACUA